rnacentral:rRNA from 1 species
UACGGAGGGUGCAAGCGUUGUCCGGAUUUAUUGGGUUUAAAGGGUGCGUAGGCGGCUUUAUAAGUCCGUGGUGAAAGCCAACAGCUCAACUGUUGAACUGCCAUGGAUACUGUAAGGCUUGAGUACAGACGAGGUAGGCGGAAUGGAUGGUGUAGCGGUGAAAUGCGUAGAUACCAUCCAGAACACCGAUUGCGUAGGCAGCUUACUAGGCUGUAACUGACGCUGAGGCACGAAAGCGUGGGGAGCGAACAGG